GCAGGGGUGGCAGAGCCUGGCCAAAUGCGGGAGGCUUAAGACCUCCUCUCUUAGGAGUUCGCCGGUUCAAACGGGCUUUUCUUUUGUAAAAGAAAAGACCCGCGGAAAAGAAAACCGCGGUUGCCUGAAAAUCCGGCCCCCUGCA
rnacentral:tRNA from 1 species